ACGGGUGAGUAAUAUAUCGGAACGUACCCAAGAGUGGGGGAUAACGUAGCGAAAGUUACGCUAAUACCGCAUACGAUCUAAGGAUGAAAGCAGGGGAUCGCAAGACCUUGUGCUCCUGGAGCGGCCGAUAUCUGAUUAGCUAGUUGGUGGGGUAAAGGCCCACCAAGGCAACGAUCAGUAGCUGGUCUGAGAGGACGACCAGCCACACUGGAACUGAGACACGGUCCAGACUCCUACGGGAGGCAGCAGUGGGGAAUUUUGGACAAUGGGGGCAACCCUGAUCCAGCAAUGCCGCGUGAGUGAAGAAGGCCUUCGGGUUGUAAAGCUCUUUUGUCAGGGAAGAAAAGGCUGUGGCUAAUAUCCACAGCUGCUGACGGUACCUGAAGAAUAAGCACCGGCUAACUACGUGCCAGCAGCCGCGGUAAUACGUAGGGUGCAAGCGUUAAUCGGAAUUACUGGGCGUAAAGCGUGCGCAGGCGGUUUCGUAAGUCUGUCGUGAAAUCCCCGGGCUUAACCUGGGAAUGGCGAUGGAGACUGCGAGGCUAGAGUUUGGCAGAGGGGGGUAGAAUUCCACGUGUAGCA
rnacentral:rRNA from 2 species